AGUUUUCAAGUAGUUUCCCACUUUACCAAGUGACACUGACCACUGUUUUCAAGGAGUGGCAAAAAUCCAUGUCAAACUAUUUCAGCAACUAGUGCUGAUUUAGUGGCAAAUUAAUAGUUCUUUCAGCAAAAAUAAUAGGCUUACUACAUGUGAUGUAUCUAUUACCUCGAAAAAUACUAUGCUCUUCUGCAUGCAAGUUUUUGUUCAUUUCAAACAGGGCUACGAAAAGUUCUGAAGAGGAAAGGAAUGAUGGGUCUGUACACCUUGGACCACGCUUGCUAACAGAUUUACCAUUGUCACCAUCCCGAACCCCUCCAUUUUUAAGUUCUUCAAGCCUCCCUGUUGAUAAACUUAACUCCUAGAUUGUAACUCCCAAGGUUGGGGCAAAAGCAGAUCAUCUUGGACCAUAUCACUUGUAACUCAAGAAUUAUCUUUUCAAAAAUUUUUGCUACCUUGAAAAGUUAUCCAAAUCAACUAAUUCUUAUAGAAAACCCAUGUAGAUUCAAAAUGAUAUACCGAUCCUAUCAUAAGUUUUCUUUCUAACACUUACAAUGACACCUAAUAGUUGCUUCCACAAAAGAGUCAACAAGCAAAAAAAUG
rnacentral:lncRNA from 1 species